CGAGUUCUCGAUUGAUUGCAAAGGUGCUUGCAUCUUGAUUUAGAUUUUGAACGAGUGGCGGACGGGUGAGUAACACGUGGGUAACCUGCCCUUAAGUGGGGGAUAACAUUUGGAAACAGAUGCUAAUACCGCAUAAAUCCAAGAACCGCAUGGUUCUUGGCUGAAAGAUGGCGUAAGCUAUCGCUUUUGGAUGGACCCGCGGCGUAUUAGCUAGUUGGUGAGGUAACGGCUCACCAAGGCAAUGAUACGUAGCCGAACUGAGAGGUUGAUCGGCCACAUUGGGACUGAGACACGGCCCAAACUCCUACGGGAGGCAGCAGUAGGGAAUCUUCCACAAUGGACGCAAGUCUGAUGGAGCAACGCCGCGUGAGUGAAGAAGGCUUUCGGGUCGUAAAACUCUGUUGUUGGAGAAGAAUGGUCGGCAGAGUAACUGUUGUCGGCGUGACGGUAUCCAACCAGAAAGCCACGGCUAACUACGUGCCAGCAGCCGCGGUAAUACGUAGGUGGCAAGCGUUAUCCGGAUUUAUUGGGCGUAAAGCGAGCGCAGGCGGUUUUUUAAGUCUGAUGUGAAAGCCCUCGGCUUAACCGAGGAAGUGCAUCGGAAACUGGGAAACUUGAGUGCAGAAGAGGACAGUGGAACUCCAUGUGUAGCGGUGAAAUGCGUAGAUAUAUGGAAGAACACCAGUGGCGAAGGCGGCUGUCUGGUCUGUAACUGACGCUGAGGCUCGAAAGCAUGGGUAGCGAACAGGAUUAGAUACCCUGGUAGUCCAUGCCGUAAACGAUGAAUGCUAGGUGUUGGAGGGUUUCCGCCCUUCAGUGCCGCAGCUAACGCAUUAAGCAUUCCGCCUGGGGAGUACGACCGCAAGGUUGAAACUCAAAGGAAUUGACGGGGGCCCGCACAAGCGGUGGAGCAUGUGGUUUAAUUCGAAGCAACGCGAAGAACCUUACCAGGUCUUGACAUCUUUUGAUCACCUGAGAGAUCAGGUUUCCCCUUCGGGGGCAAAAUGACAGGUGGUGCAUGGUUGUCGUCAGCUCGUGUCGUGAGAUGUUGGGUUAAGUCCCGCAACGAGCGCAACCCUUAUGACUAGUUGCCAGCAUUUAGUUGGGCACUCUAGUAAGACUGCCGGUGACAAACCGGAGGAAGGUGGGGAUGACGUCAAAUCAUCAUGCCCCUUAUGACCUGGGCUACACACGUGCUACAAUGGAUGGUACAACGAGUUGCGAGACCGCGAGGUCAAGCUAAUCUCUUAAAGCCAUUCUCAGUUCGGACUGUAGGCUGCAACUCGCCUACACGAAGUCGGAAUCGCUAGUAAUCGCGGAUCAGCACGCCGCGGUGAAUACGUUCCCGGGCCUUGUACACACCGCCCGUCACACCAUGAGAGUUUGUAACACCCGAAGCCGGUGGCGUAACCCUUUUAGGGAGCGAGCCGUC
rnacentral:rRNA from 1 species